UACGAAGGGGGCUAGCGUUGUUCGGAAUCACUGGGCGUAAAGCGCACGUAGGCGGAUUGUUAAGUCGGGGGUGAAAUCCUGAGGCUCAACCUCAGAACUGCCUUCGAUACUGGCGAUCUUGAGUUCGGAAGAGGUUGGUGGAACAGCUAGUGUAGAGGUGAAAUUCGUAGAUAUUAGCUAGAACACCGGUGGCGAAGGCGGCAUCCUGGACCAACACUGACGCUGAGGAGCGAAAGCCAGGGGAGCAAACGGG
rnacentral:rRNA from 1 species